UCGGCGAUAGAGAAGAGCCUUGCCUUUUCUUUCCUCCUCCAGCUUCUCCUUCUGAUGCUCCAUUUUUGACAGAGCCUCCUGAAGUUCAGCCUGAGAUGCAGGCAGUCUCUGAGUCGCCUGAACCUCCUUUGAAACAGACCUCCACCCCUCUGAGGUGUUUUCUCCCCACGGCUUGCUCUGUCUGAGGUUCGGAGCCUCUUGGCUGAGCUC
rnacentral:lncRNA from 1 species